rnacentral:rRNA from 1 species
UGGGGAAUUUUGGACAAUGGGCGAAAGCCUGAUCCAGCAAUGCCGCGUGUGUGAAGAAGGCCUUCGGGUUGUAAAGCACUUUUGUCCGGAAAGAAAUCCUUGGCUCUAAUACAGUCGGGGGAUGACGGUACCGGAAGAAUAAGCACCGGCUAACUACGUGCCAGCAGCCGCGGUAAUACGUAGGGUGCAAGCGUUAAUCGGAAUUACUGGGCGUAAAGCGUGCGCAGGCGGUUUGCUAAGACCGAUGUGAAAUCCCCGGGCUCAACCUGGGAACUGCAUUGGUGACUGGCAGGCUAGAGUAUGGCAGAGGGGGGUAGAAUUCCACGUGUAGCAGUGAAAUGCGUAGAGAUGUGGAGGAAUACCGAUGGCGAAGGCAGCCCCCCUGGGGCCAAUACUGACGCUCAUGCACGAAAGCGUGGGGAGCAAACAGGAUUAGAUACCCUGGUAGUCCACGCCCUAAACGAUGUCAACUAGUUGUUGGGGAUUCAUUUCCUUAGUAACGUAGCUAACGCGUGAAGUUGACCGCCUGGGGAGUACGGUCGCAAGAUUAAACUCAAAUGAAUUGACGGGGUCAUAGCUGUUUCCU